GGGUGUUCUAUGACGUCGGCGGUCGUGAUCUGGUGGGCUCCCUGGGAGCCCAGAAAGCCCCCUUCUGCACGAUCCGGCCCUCCAGGGCCAUGUGAUCGCGGGUCCUUGCGAUCACAUGGCUUAAAUAGCCGGCUCAUGCAGUGCCAUACAAAUACGAAUUAGAAUGCUAGCUUUGGCCAGUGUUUGUGAGCAAGUGGAUACUAAAAAAACACUGGACAUGCCCCAUUUGUA